CUCCUGGGGGCGGGGGGGGGGGAGGACCUCGUUCUUCUCCACUCGGGUCCGUCUUCGUCCUCCCAGCCACCGGUGGUCAGUGUCCCGUCCCCAUGGUAACCGCGUAACGCCUGCUGAGAGGUGACGGGAGCCGCUUCAGUGGGCUUAUUGUCAUUCGGGGAUGUGACUGUGGGCUUCACUGAGGAGGAGUGGCAGCGCCUGGACCCUGCUCAGAGGACCCUGUACAGGGACGUGAUGCUGGAGAACUACAGCCACCUUGUCGCAGUGGGGUUAUCCAUU